rnacentral:lncRNA from 1 species
AAUCAGAACAUAGUUGGAGUCUCUGGAAGCUUCCAAUGUAGAACUCAGGAUUACUGAGUAGAAGAAGAAAACCCAGAACCCAAGUAAGAUAACAGGAGAGAACAACCUACCUCAGUUGUGCUCUCUUCCCUACUAGUUGGAAAACUCAGAAUACAUCAGUGAACUUGUCACUUAAUUCAGACUUUCCUCAACAAAAAUUAAGUUCUGAGGAUACAGCUUUCAAUUUUAAUAAAAAUUAUUAGAAGCUUUUGUAUCUCAUUAGCCAGGUUUGUUAAAUUGUAUUUGUAACAAAAAUCUGUGUAUAGGUGACAGCUUCAUCAUUUGUUAUGUUGUAAAUCUGAUUUCACUAUUUCCCUUAAAGUCUUUGAAAGAUUUCUUUAACAGAAGAUGACAAAACUCUAAAAUACAUAUUUUUUAAAAAUGCACUAAUACAGGUGAUUACAGAAUAAGUAAUGGGUUGUUUUGUUUGGUGUUAGUCAAUAGUUGUUUUUCCAAGAAGUCUUAGAAUAUAUAGAAGAUCGUGUGAUUUUGAACUUUGUAUUGUAUAGGAAGUAGCAUUUAAAUGAAAACUACAUUGAUUGAGGGAUAUUUAGUACUCCAUAAGGUCCAAAAGUUUCCAUUUAAAUUGACAGAAACUCCAAAUAGGUUCUUGGUUUACCUUUAAAAUGUGCUCUAGGCCUGGUGGAUGUAGCUCGGUGGUAGAAUGCUUACAUAGCAUGUACAAGGCCUGGGGUGCCAUCCUUAGCAUCGUCUUUUCUCUCUCUUAUGAAAUAAGUAUGUCACAGAGGCUUUUAAAAUUUUUUGUUCUUACCAGGCGUGGUGGUGCACGCCUGUAAUCUCAAUGGCUCAGGAGGCUGAGACAGGAAGAUCACGAAUUGAAAGCCAGUCUCAGCAACAGCAAGGCACUAAGCAACUCAGUGAGACCCUGCCUCUAAAUAAAACACAAAGUAGGGCCAGGGAUGUGUCUGAGGUUGAGUGCCCUGGAGUUCAAUCCUCAGUUGUUGUGGUGGUUGGUUGGUUGUUCUCUAAUGAACACCUGCUGUUCACGAUCUUUAGUUGCAUCUAUGGAUCAUCUUUAGACUGCCCCACGUGGGGGCUGGAGUUGUGGCUCAGUAGUAAAGUACUUGCCAACAUGUGUGAGGCACUGGGUUCAAUUCAAGUCUCAGCACCACCUGUCAAUAAAAUAAAGGUCCAUCAACAACUAAUAAAAAUAUUUAAUAAUUAAAAAAACCUACCCACCCACUCCCUGCAACUUUAAAGGCAUCUUCAAAAUUUUUCAAGUCAUUUCAGGGGAGAAAUAUCAGCUAAGAUUUUCAUCACCACAGCCUGGUUGAACCCAGGUGCAGACUUAGUUUGUUCUGCUGACUAAGGCAUUAGGUGCUUUACCAUAAAGUCAGGUUUGUCUGCUCUGGGGGCAGAUUAACCCAACAUUGUCAUUGCAAACCUCAUCUGAUUGCUGCUAGUUGUGAAGCCUCCCCAGUGCCAGUAAUUGGGCACUUGAGAGAAGUCAAGUGUGAAAUUGUGCAGACCUGAGCUUCUCAUCAGCUGCCCUUGGAGUAUUGGUUUUAGGCACUGAGUUUGCAGCUAACAUUUCCAGGGAGAAUAAUAGUUUAUCUGGGUAUUUAGGAAGGGUUAGAUAUUUAAGAGAAAGCCAUAUUAAAAUCUAGGUAUCGUUUCCUUUCUACUUACUUACUAAAGGGGUAAGAGUUGCAAGCCUCAGCCAGUAGUUGACAAUUUGGUUUCCCUACUGUAGACUCUGUGCCUCAUUGUAACUUAAAAUUGCAAAAGUGAAAUUUGGAGAUAUUUGUGCCUCACUUGAAAUAACUGUGAGAAAACAUGGUAAAAACUUACACCCUAGGUAUGAAUAAGGAAAAGUUAAUGGAUGAUCAGUCUGAGGUUAGUGUGGUGUAAGUGUUAGUGACAUGUUUUUCCUCUUGGCAUCAUCAUUCAUGUGCUAUGACAGGUUGAAAUCCAGCCAUCUGCUUGGUAGCUUCUGUGGAGGCAACAUUCAGGAAGGCCAGUCUCAGUGAUAUAAUGGAAUCACAUCAGACCCAACUGGGAUAUGUCAGUGACAGUCCUUUGGACUCUAUAAUUGAGGUAUUUCUAAGUUAGCAGACUUUGCAGAGUUGGUUGGAGUGCGAUAGCUGUCCUUUCCUUUCUUGGAGAGAAUGCACUUCAGUGGCUUUCAAGUCCCCUGAACUUGCUGUAUUGUUUAUUCUCUCACUGCCAUUUUUGAGUGGAAAAAAAGGGACAUUACUUCCCCCUCUCCACCUUUCUUAUUUAUAUUUUAGUAUGCAAAUUCUAUUCCUUCCUGCUUCCUUUUUUUUUUUGAACCCAGAAUACACUGUUAAAGUAAUUUCAUGACAGAGAAACCUUUUGAUGCCAUUUGAGUGCUCUGAGCCUUACUUCUUAAGUAAAUGGAUAAAACUAGAGCAAAGUCAGAGACUGAAAUAGAAGGUUUGGUAUUAUAAAAGAUGGAUUCUGUUUGAUAAGUUCUUUUACAGUGUGUGUGUGUGUGUGUGUUUGGAAUUCAGUUCUUGUUAGAAAUAAGAAGACAUGGUCUUCGUGGUGUGUUUGUCAGGGAGAGUCAAGUGUUUUCUAACAAAAGUGAGCUAGGAAGAAAACUCUAUCUUGAGACAUCUGUAGUUGCUGCAAAACAUUUCUAUAAAAUCAAUUUAAUACAUGUUUUCAUAGCUUUUCUUUCAAGGAAGCGUCUGCAGUCUAAUAGAAACAUGCUGACAGUCUCUCGUCUAUAUGGUAUGCUAUGAGCAGAGCAGAAUUUCAGGCAGAAAUUUCACUGAUGACUUGUAGUUCAAAGUUUUCUGUUUCCUCCCACAAGGAGGCUUCAAAACCCUCUGUUUGACCUAAAUAGGAGCUAGUUCCAUUGUGCUUUCUGCUGACCCUGGGGGUAGAAGUAAGGGCCAGAAUGAGCAUGUGAAUAAAUGGCAGGAAAGCUUUGUUGGUGUUUUUUGUUUUGUUUUUGUUUUUGGUAUGUCAGACAGCAAAUCUUAUUCAGUUUACAAAAUUAUUAAAAGGAUUGAAGAAGCAAAAAAAAAAUGGUGUAAAAGAGAUUUCCUAUAAUUGUAGGGAGUAAUUAUAGGGAGUUAUUGUCACACCUUGGACUGAAGGAACACGAUAGAAGAUUUGAGUUAUCUAGUGCCCAGGCAAGCUGGUCAUCAAAGCUGCUGAAUUAGAACCUCUGGCAUCACUUUGUGGAACUCAAUGCAUGGCCAUCACUCCAAAUUAUACUAACCUAAGAAUCAAUCUAUUGAGCUUGUCCUCCAUGACAUUUGUUUUAGCUUUUUUUGCUACUGUGACCCAACACCUGACAAUACUUAGAAGAAGAAAAGUUUAAAAAUAUGGCGCCUCACAGUUUCAGAGAUCUCAGUCCAUAGAUAGCUGACUCCAUUCCUCAGGGCUUGGGAGAGGCAGAACAUUCCUGCUAGAAGGGUGUGGUAGGUCAGCACAUGACCACAAAAAGCAGAUAUUUUUGUUUUUUGAGUGAUGAGGGAGUCCGUGAUGAUCCUUAGAAUUGUAUCCAGUCUCCAUUGUGAGUUUUAGAAUGUUAAAUACAUUUUCUUUUCACACCUACCAAGUUGAUAGACCAAAAACAUACACUGAAAUAGCACAAAAGAUAAAAUUUAAAGGGGAUUUUUCUCAUGGUCCAAAUGGUGGUGAGAGCCCAUGACUUUGAUAAUAUAUACUGGAAUUGGAAUCAAAUCUCAUUUACUGCAAAUUUUAGAACUAGAAGUGUGCAUUUAUGUCCUUAAAAAAUUAUGCAGAGCUCUUUGUUAAAGAUGAUAAGCAAUUUGCAGCCCUUGAACUGGGACUUUAAAAUCAGGAAGAGAGCCUCUGCAAGUGGCAUGCACUGAAAUCCCAUUCUAAAAGUUAAGGUAGACUCAAAUGUAUACCAACUAUUUUAAUUAUGAACCAUUUAGAGUAAAAACUUCUGGGUGUCAUAUCUCAUGGAAUCUGUGAAUUACAGACCUUGCUGAAUUCAUGAGAAAGAAAACUGGUUGCAACUGGUUUAAGUCAACAUGUUAAAAAUUUCUACAUGAUUGACUCAAAUGAUUUGAAAGUCCAAAUAAAGCAUGAUAUCGUUGUCAGGAAACAUCAUCUUCUAAGCUUGUUAUCUGCUUUUAUGAAGGGAAAGUGGAAGAGAGAGUGAGAUAUGAAGCCAAAGUAGGAUCAGACAGCACCUGAGUUUUGCACCAAAGUUUCAAAUGUGAAUAAACAAAAAGGAGGACCAUUUGUAAGCCAACCUAGGAGGACUUGCCAGAAAGUAGCAGCCCCUGCUACACAAUACAGUGCCUUCAAAAUGAUGCUCUGUGUGAAUUGCAUGCAAUUUCAUGUAACCCUGAAGUGUAACCUGUAUGUGCAUGAUCUGUCUAGAAUGUGUAAAGUUAAGAUUCAGCAGAAAGGGGCCUAGCUCUGUCACUGAUGGGUCAGUGAGCCUGCUGAAGUCGUUGGACUUGAUGUGACCUGGGUCUGAACCCUCACACCCCUGAGUCUGCAUUAAACAACCUUGUUGAAAUUCGAUUCAUCUCUCCCUUUCAAUUUUCCUACUUUGCAGCUUUGCUGGUUUUAACUGCUUCAUUCUUCUGCUUCUUGGUAUCCUUUCUUCUUUUGAAAUAAAAAGACUAAAUACUUAAUUCAAAGGAGA